AUUGAACGCUGGCGGCAUGCUUUACACAUGCAAGUCGAACGGCAGCACGGGCUUCGGCCUGGUGGCGAGUGGCGAACGGGUGAGUAAUGCAUCGGAACGUACCGUGUAAUGGGGGAUAACGUAGCGAAAGUUACGCUAAUACCGCAUACGCCCUGAGGGGGAAAGUGGGGGACCGCAAGGCCUCACGUUAUACGAGCGGCCGAUGUCGGAUUAGCUAGUUGGUGGGGUAAAGGCCUACCAAGGCGACGAUCCGUAGCGGGUCUGAGAGGAUGAUCCGCCACACUGGGACUGAGACACGGCCCAGACUCCUACGGGAGGCAGCAGUGGGGAAUUUUGGACAAUGGGCGCAAGCCUGAUCCAGCCAUGCCGCGUGAGUGAAGAAGGCCUUCGGGUUGUAAAGCUCUUUCAGGUGGAAAGAAAUCGCACUUUCUAAUACAAGGUGUGGAUGACGGUACCAUCAGAAGAAGCACCGGCUAACUACGUGCCAGCAGCCGACGGU
rnacentral:rRNA from 1 species